AGACUGCUGAGUUGCUGAGACAGAAACGCUCCCAGCAUGGUGCUCCCCACCCUGCUGUGGGCACUCACUGCUUCCCUCUGCCUCGGAUCCAGUUUGGCCCAGACUGUCUCUCAGGCCCAAAAAGCAGUGUCUGGGCUGAUGGGGCAGACAGUGAUCCUGUCCUGCAGCUACAGCACGAGCGACAGCUAUUAUUCUUUGUACUGGUACAAACAACCUCCUACCGGGGAGAUGAUUUACCUUAUUGAACAGUAUUCUGGUUCCCCCAAUGCAAGGACUGGCAGAUACUCGGUGACUUUCCAGAAAUCAGUGAAAUCCAUCAAACUCACCAUUGCAGCCUUAGAGCUGGGGGACUCUGCGGUGUAUUUCUGUGCUUACAGCAGGGCCCACAGUGAGAGAACAGGCAGGAGAAGCUGUUCAAAAACUCCAGAGUUAUCGGCUCUGUUCAGGGCAUGGGAAGCAAGGGGAAAUCCCCAAACCCAGACAGGAAAUUGGUCGGUUGGAGACUGGAGCUGGGAGCAACCCAGCUAGGGGUUAUAGAGGAAACCACUGGUUACGUUCUAGGAAAUAGACCCACAGUUGGGUCCUGAUACACCGCAAGUGCCAGGAGUUCAUUGUGCUGAAAAAAAUGAUUGACUUUGAAUUCUUCAUCCGAAUGAAACAAGCUGAUGAGUAGCCAGGUUUGUUCCUGCAACUGAGCGGAGAAGCCAAUAAGGGUGAAUAGAGCACGUGAACUGUUCUGAGCAGCUGCUGAAUGGGAAGAACAAGGGAUUGAUGAGCCAGUGAAAAUGUUUUGGAAUCAAUGCAUUCCCGUUUCCCACACUGAAUUUUUUCCCAUCUUAUAUGCGAUUUUUCAGUUCUGUGUCUCCACCUUUUUUCUGUUCUCUCGUCAUCUUUUUUUCCUUCCUUCUUCUUUUGUACUCUUUCCUCCCACUAAGAAUGGGAGGAUGCUAAGAAUGGGACAAUUUCCCAUUCUGUGGCCUCUGACCACACCUCAGGAGAAACAGGAUACUAAACAUUUUUUUAAUCUGCCAAAUCCUCAAGCCCUCUUUCCUCCAAAUACUAUGAUGGACUACUAAAUUCCCCCGCAACAUCAGA